CCUACGGGUGGCAGCAGUGGGGAAUAUUGCACAAUGGGCGCAAGCCUGAUGCAGCCAUGCCGCGUGUGUGAAGAAGGCCUUCGGGUUGUAAAGCACUUUCAGCGGGGAGGAAGGCGGUGAGGUUAAUAACCUCAUCGAUUGACGUUACCCGCAGAAGAAGCACCGGCUAACUCCGUGCCAGCAGCCGCGGUAAUACGGAGGGUGCAAGCGUUAAUCGGAAUUACUGGGCGUAAAGCGCACGCAGGCGGUCUGUCAAGUCGGAUGUGAAAUCCCCGGGCUCAACCUGGGAACUGCAUUCGAAACUGGCAGGCUAGAGUCUUGUAGAGGGGGGUAGAAUUCCAGGUGGAGCGGUGAAAUGCGUAGAGAUCUGGAGGAAUACCGGUGGCGAAGGCGGCCCCCUGGACAAAGACUGACGCUCAGGUGCGAAAGCGUGGGGAGCAAACAGGAUUAGAUACCCCGGUAGUC
rnacentral:rRNA from 1 species